AGCAGUCGCCGCGGUAACACGGAGGGGGCUAGCGUUGUUCGGAAUUACUGGGCGUAAAGCGCACGUAGGCGGCUUUGUAAGUUAGAGGUGAAAGCCUGGAGCUCAACUCCAGAAUUGCCUUUAAGACUGCAUCGCUUGAAUCGCGGAGAGGUGAGUGGAAUUCCGAGUGUAGAGGUGAAAUUCGUAGAUAUUCGGAAGAACACCAGUGGCGAAGGCGGCUCACUGGACGCGUAUUGACGCUGAGGUGCGAAAGCGUGGGGAGCAAACAGGAUUAGAUACCCCAGUAGUCCCUGUCUCUUAUAC
rnacentral:rRNA from 1 species